UCCCUGAAAGAUGAUCAGGUUGAUAGGUCUGAGGUGGAAGUGUGGCGACACAUGGAGCUGACAGAUACUAAUCGAUCGAGGACUUAACCUA
rnacentral:rRNA from 2 species